UUGCCUGCCAACGCUUUACCCCAAAUUUCUUAAACCGUUAGGGGAAUAUUGCAAAUUUGCAAAAUUUAUUUAUAACGAAUAACAUUUGAAAAAAUUAGGUAUGUCGCAAAUACACAUAAUAUAAAUAUAGGUUCAAUAAAAUUGUGACCUUAGAUAGAUAAAUGAGGGAGAUUGAUGUUUUCAGACGAUAGCAGAGUCUGCAUCAAUGAGGUGUGAUUAUUCUCGGUCAUCAUUUGCAGAAAAUAAAAUUCAAUGAUAGCGCAUCAUCACAGUUUAUGUUCUAACAUUUCCAUUUCCAGUUCUCCUAACUGAAGCAAAUUCUUCUGCAUUGAAGUUUUUUGAACCAGAUUAUAAUGCUGCUCGAUCUCCUCCUGUAAAAAUCCAAUAUGGCGCCCAUAAGAAAUAAGAAUGUAAGAACCACCCUCUACAAUGAAAAAAGUAGAUUUUUUAUCCGAAAAUCGUGAAUAUCUUGGAAACGGCUCAACUUCAUGGGCCCAACAAAUUAUCUUUUUUUUUGUCAUAAAAAAAGCUGUUUCCCCCAAAUUUCAGACGCCUACGACUUUUUUUCGCAAAAACAAACUUAGAAAAGGAAAAAAGUUUUUCCAGUUUUUCUCGGAAAAAUGUUGAGUUUAUGGGAAACAAGUGUAGAAUCAAAAGUUGUUUUUAUUCCCUAAAACUUAGGACAUUUUGGUCUUAAAUACAGCGUUCCACCCCGAUUUCGAAUCACUUGACCCGUUUUGGACCGGAAGAUAAUUUUUCUGUCAAAAAAAUGUACACUGAUCCAAGAUAAGGAUUUCUAUCAUGGUGAUCUCGGAAACCAUAGAAGAUACAAUGGUCAAAUUAGGGAAAUUCUAAAAUAGAUACUCAAUGUUAUAGAUGUAGGGAAUAAAAUUUACGUUUUUAAAUUUUGUUUCUAGAACUGAUAGUUACGGAGAUAUUCACUUUAAAAAAAUCCUAUUUUCCCAAAAUUUGUCAAAACCUAACUAAAAACGCUGUAAUUUAGUUUUUUGAUCUAUUCUAGGUAAACAAUUAUCAGAACAACAUUUUGUAGGGAAUUUAAUUACCUUGCAAUGAGGUUAUGGAUGAUUUGGUUCAUCAGCUAUCAAGGAAGGUGCGUGCUCACAUCAGUUGUGAAAUGUUUGCAAUUCGGGGUCAUUACUGUCUUGGGGGGACUGCUGAAUUUUUAAAAAAAGAAAAGACCUUUCAAAGCGUAACACUGUCAUUUGAUCGUUUUUCAAAUGCUGUCCAGAAAAAUGGAGACGAAUGGAUUCCUCCUGACAUGGGCCUCGUUGCAGCUGAUGCACAAUACCGUCAUUUUUCACGGGAACUGUUCCUUCAGAGUUUAAGAAAGGCUAUCAGCCGUAUGCCAUAGUAGAGAUGGCGAUGGAUACUGAAGAAUGUCAAUUUUUACUCGAUGAAUUGAAAAGUCGCGUCAAGGAUGAGCAUCAGAUCGAUACAAGAACAAUUAAAUUCCGUCUACUGGAGAAGUUUGGGGAAGAUAUCCUUAUUGUAAAUGAAUGGAUAUGAAAUACUGACAACUGGUACAGUACCCUGAUAUCGCAGGAGAAAGAACUGAGAGUAGUUGAAAGUGGUAAUUGUAGAAGACAUUAGAUCUCAGAUGUACAGUACCUAUCACUGAAUACCCGCUCACUGACAAAUUUCGGAAUGAUGUUGAAACAGUGAUACAAUGUGGAGUCACAAUAGCAAAAAAAAAUUCGCUGUGGUUAACACAGAUACCACCUGCGCAUGCGUGAGUAUGCCCUUUUACGUCUAAGAAGAUGUGUAGCAAAUUUGCUUCCAAUCGGUUCAGCCAGAAAUGAAACGGACCGACAUCAUCAAGAUUUGUUUGAUUUGGAUUCGUAGUGCCUGAAAACCUGUAUUUCCGUAAAAAAUUGGGGGUCAUUUUUUACCCCAAUGCAAUACCCCCCUUUACUAACGUGCUGGUGGUAAAAAUGCGCCAUUGUGGCCCUUUGUCCGUCUGUCUAUCCCCACUGAUGUGUCGUUACUCGAUCUUUAUUAACAGCUAUUGUUUUACUUUUUUCGGUAUUUGGUUCAUUAUGGUGUCGAAGCUGGCACCAAGGAAGGAAUUUUUUCUGAGCAACUUCCGAAAAAGUGGAUCAUUUUGAACCAGAGAGACUCAAAUUUUUAAUCUAAACCCCAAUUUGAUUUAGGAAACAGUCAACUGCAAUGAUAGCGAAAUAGAAAAUUGACUGUUGGCAGCCAUGGUUAUUACUUUAUCUAUAUUAAUAAAAAUGAAUGUGUGUCUGUCUAUAAUGUCUCCUAUGCUUGCCUAAACUGUCCAUUCGAUUGCAAUAAAACUUUGGGGAAUAGUUGGAAAGUUUUCUAUGUAAAUAAAACUUGCCUGCUUGUCUUUAUAAAAAUCGGGGAAAAAACCAGUCAAAGAGGUUUACUGGGACAGGACGCGACUUCGACUGAUAGAUGAUAAGAGGUACACCGGAUCUGCUAGUUUAUCAUAUGCACAUGUUACCCAAAAGAAAUGAAUUGCGCAUGCGCAGAGCCAACUUUUUUAUGUAUGGGCGAAUGCUUGUUUUCUUAAAGAAGGUGCUUCGUAUAAAAUCAAGUUGAAAUGUGUCCAAAAAAAAACUGGUCUGCGCAUGCGCAGCACAUAACGAUCUUAAUUUUGCACGUUUUUUUCUGAUAUUUUAACCAGAGCUGUUUCUUAUACCUAGAAGUAAAUUGAAAUCAUGUAUGAAAAACCCAUUGCGCAUGCGCAAUUAAAAUUUAUUUGUGAACCACUUUUCUAAAAUUUAAUUGAAACCACAUGUUACAAAAUGGAUUGUGUAUGUGCAAAGCGAACUCUUUCAGUUGCAUGUGAAUUUUUUCUAAAUGCAUUUCAAAUAACUGUUGGUCAUUUUGUAUGUAAUUAAAUUCCCUACAAAUUUUAUUCUGAUACUUAAUUGUUUCCUAGAAUGGUCACUGAAUUACAGCUUUCUAAUGUUAGAAGUGUGACAAAUUUCCGGAAAAUAUGACUUUUUCAUUUCUCAAAAAGCACCCUAACGAAGAUAUACCUAUGCGAAAAUCUGCAGAAAGUGCCAAUUUUUUUCAGUUUUUUCAAUACGGCGGUUGAGAGGAAUUAUGCAUUUUGAAUUUUAAACAUCUACUAACGUCCUAGAAACAUCAAAAAUGUAGAACUAGCGGACUGUUUGUAAGGUAACCUCCCUCUUUUUGUCUCUAUUCACUGGACUAUUCUAAGUUGCUGGAAAAACCUCUCUGGAUAGUUUUGCAACUGUAUAGGUGAUGAAAUUCCCUGUAGUCCUUUCUAUACCUGUUGAUGUACUCCAUACUUUAACAAAGUGUUAAUAUAUGGAUAAUCUUCUGAAAGAAGAGCAAUUCGCGAUAAAUCGCUUGCAAGCCUGAGUGCACCCUUUAGCGCAUUUUUCAUGCGUAGAUCAGUACUUCCUAAACGGUUAGAGGAACGGAAUAUUUAUGUGGACCAAAGAAAAUAUGUUAAUCGAACCAUUUUUAUGGUUAAAGGAAUAUCUUCCUCUAUUCCAACUUCGAUGGAAAAUGCGCUAAAAACUUAUGAUUGUAAUACAAAGUCACUUUUAUGUUUGUUAAAAAUAUAUUAUGAACCCAACAGUUUCUUCUAUUUGUUUGAGACUUUUCUUCACACAAAACGAAAAUGAAAACAGCAUCUUCUUCUCCAGAGGACCACAUUUUGUUAUGUUGGUACAGCUACUACCUGCCCAAGAUAUGUCUCGACUUGGCAGCAUAGAUUCUUCGUCGUACUAGAUAUAGAGUAUGCGUAUGAUUAGAUAAUUGCACCGCCCUCUCUAGUGUGCGAUAGUCUUUUGAGAAGGUCUUAAUUUGUUUCAUUCAAUUUCGACAUUUUAACUAGGGAUGAGACUGACCCCUACUUUAUGCCGAUAUAUCCUAGCUAGAACAUUGUCAUUUAUCCUGUUCCAUGGUCUAUAGAUUGUGUACAAGAUGGUCAAAUUAGAAUGGCAGGCGACUACAUCUCCAAAAUCACGAGAAACGGUCAGCAAUUAGAUAAUUGGAGGUCGAAGGGGGCGGCGAAUGACGGUAGCACAGGAUGACCAUUGAAGAUAUUUUUUAAAACUAUGUCGACUAAUUAUUUCGAAAGAUCAAUAGGACAAGGUUACAAAAAUCUCUUAGUUCUUGUUACGAAUAGUUUAUGUUUAUGCGCAAUCGCAUUUUUGUUUAUUCUAUAUAUGGGGAAUUCAUUCGUUGUAAUGAUGUUGACCUUGCCUUUUACACCAAUGUAGAUCUCAGAAAAUGGAUCGAUUGAACGUAAAAUUGCGAACUUCUUGUACCUUUUGAUCUACUGACUGAAUAUCAAUCCGGCUCGAAGGACCAUGUAAUUUUUCUGUGUGGUUUAUUCAACAUCAUUACAACGAAUGAAUUCCCCAUACAUAGAAUAAACAAAAAUGCGAUUGCGCAUAAACAUAAACUAUUCGUAACAGU